GAUGGAAACAGUAUGGCAUUUAAUCAAGCCUUUUCACAACAAAAUUACUGAUUUAUGGUUUCUUUACAGAAACAAUCUUCUACCUCACAGAACAGCAAUACCCAAGUCCACGGUCAGUCCACUUUCUCACCAGGCAGCCAAGAUGGAUCGGCUUCCUCCGGUGUCAGUACGGGUUGUGGAGAGGGUACUUCAUACGACAGCAAUCCCUGCCACCAGGUGAGUAACCUUUCUCCAUUGUUUUUAAGGUUUGCCUUAAACUGGUUCUUAGUAAUGGAAUGUGUUGUCAUAAAUCUAAUUUCUUGUUCUCAAACAGUGGAACAAUGCUGCAAACAAUUUCUCUGAAAAGUAUGUACAAACCUCAUUAGACUUCG
rnacentral:lncRNA from 1 species